UCUAAGCAACCGCGGCUGUGCUGCCACAGAGUGGAAAACCUCGCGGAUGAGAACUAGGGAAACAGUGUAACGGAUGCUCGCAGACUUGGCACCUGUGUCUGUGAGCCUCCUUCCAGGGCUUCGGGUCUGGCCUUGCCCACGCUGCGUCUCCGUCACUGUGGGACCACAGGGUCCCCUUCUGCUCUCUGGAAAAGUGGGGGCUGACGUCGGGCAGGGCAUGGGUGUGCUGUAAACCUGGGUCCCGCCACUAAUCAGCAUAUAAUCUUGGGAGCUACGUAAACCCUUUACUGCUCUGGGCUUGACUUCCUCUCAUUUCAGAACAAACGCAAUGAUCUCCUAGGCUUCCUUCUGCUUUCACAGUCUGUGGUUUCCCGGUGCUAAACGGGAAGGAUCCCCAAGGCUUCCCCUGCUAGUGUAGACCGUUCCAGGUGGGUCAGCAAAAGGCAUUUUCAGGGCCACAUUCGUAUCAAAUUGCUUCCUAUCCCUGCUUCUCCCUUCAUCCGACAUCAUCAGUGAAACCCAUCCUCAGGCAAACACUUCAGCGACCAUUUCGCCAAGUGAAUGGGGAUCCCUCCCGUGCCCUUUGCUGCAGUGAGAGCUUCCUUCCGCCUUGGCGGGUAACUUCAUGAUGACUCCAGGUCCCAGCUCUUCCUGUGCCUGUCACUGUUUUGGUCCUGCCUCUUCUCACCUCCUGUGGCCCCAUCAGCUCUCACCCCCGAAGGCCACACCCGCUCCGGCAGACCGCUCCCUGACCCUGGCCACGUGAAGCCUGCAUGAGGGCAGGGGCACGUGGAGAUCUGAGACCUGAUCAUCGUUCCCUUUUCUUCCAGUCUCUGACGGCCGGCGCCCUGUGGGUCUGAGACCGUGACCUCCCUGCGCCACUGGACCUCACCAAGACUGAGCUCGGAAGGGCACA